rnacentral:rRNA from 1 species
UACGUAGGGUGCGAGCGUUGUCCGGAAUUAUUGGGCGUAAAGAGCUUGUAGGCGGUUUGUCGCGUCUGCUGUGAAAACCCGCGGCUCAACCGCGGGCUUGCAGUCGAUACGGGCAGGCUAGAGUUUGGUAGGGGAGACUGGAAUUCCUGGUGUAGCGGUGAAAUGCGCAGAUAUCAGGAGGAACACCGGUGGCGAAGGCGGGUCUCUGGGCCGAUACUGACGCUGAGGAGCGAAAGCGUGGGGAGCGAACAGG